rnacentral:rRNA from 1 species
CUCAACCGGGAAAAUGCCAUUGAUACUGUUAAUCUUGAGUACAGUUGAGGUUGGCGGAAUGUAUCAUGUAGCGGUGAAAUGCAUAGAUAUGAUACAGAACACCGAUAGCGAAGGCAGCUUACCAAACUGUAACUGACGCUCAUGCACGAAAGCGUGGGGAGCAAACAGGAUUAGAUACCCUGGUAGUCCACGCUGUAAACUAUGAUCACUCGCUGUUGGCGAUACACUGUCAGCGGCUUAGCGAAAGUGUUAAGUGAUCCACCUGGGGAGUACGAUCGCAAGGUUGAAACUCAAAGGAAUUGACGGGGGCCCGCACAAGCGGAGGAGCAUGUGGUUUAAUUCGAUGAUACGCGAGGAACCUUACCUGGGCUUAAAUGCAGAACGACCUCCCGAGAAAUCGGGACUUCCUUCGGGACGGAUUGCAAGGUGCUGCAUGGUUGUCGUCAGCUCGUGCCGUGAGGUGUCGGGUUAAGUCCCAUAACGAGCGCAACCCUUAUCCUUAGUUGCCAACAGGUAAUGCUGGGAACUCUAAGGAAACUGCCUACGCAAGUAGUGAGGAAGGUGGGGAUGACGUCAAAUCAGCACGGCCCUUAUGUCCAGGGCUACACACGUGCUACAAUGGUCGGUACAGAGGGCAGCUACCUGGCAACAGGAUGCUAAUCUCGAAAGCCGGUCUCAGUUCGGAUUGGAGUCUGCAACUCGACUCCAUGAAGUUGGAUUCGCUAGUAAUCGCGC